rfam:Triticum aestivum genome assembly, contig: Triticum_aestivum_CS42_TGACv1_scaffold_571550_7AS
GUCCUACUCCCUCCGUCCGGAAAAGCUUGUCCCUCAAAUGGAUGUAUCUAUCACUAACUUGGUGCUAGAUACAUCCAUUUGAGGGACAAGCUUUUUCGGACGGAGGGAGUAAAUA